UACGUAGGGUGCAAGCGUUGUCCGGAAUUAUUGGGCGUAAAGAGCUCGUAGGCGGUCUGUCGCGUCUGCUGUGAAAACUCAGGGCUUAACCCUGAGCUUGCAGUGGGUACGGGCAGACUAGAGUGCGGUAGGGGAGACUGGAAUUCCUGGUGUAGCGGUGAAAUGCGCAGAUAUCAGGAGGAACACCGGUGGCGAAGGCGGGUCUCUGGGCCGUAACUGACGCUGAGGAGCGAAGGUGUGGGGAGCGAACAGG
rnacentral:rRNA from 1 species